AUUGAACGCUGGCGGCAGGCCUAACACAUGCAAGUCGCACGAGUGGCGGACGGGUGAGUAAUGUCUGGGAAACUGCCCGAUGGAGGGGGAUAACUACUGGAAACGGUAGCUCAUACCGCAUACCAUCGGAUGUGCCCAGAUUGGAUUAGCUAGUAGGUGGGGUACCGGCUCACCUAGGCGACGAGCCCUAGCUGGUCUGAGAGGAUUACCAGCCACACUGGAACUGAGACACGUGCCAGACUCCUACGGGAGGCAGCAGUGGGUAAUAUUGCACAAGGGGCGCAAGCCUGAUGCAGCCAUGCCGCGUGUAUGAAGAAGGCCUUCGGGUUGUAAAGUACUUUCAUCGGGGAGGCGUUACCCGCAGAAGAAGCACCGGCUAACUCCGUGCCAGCAGCCGCGGUAAUUC
rnacentral:rRNA from 1 species